UACGGAGGGUGCGAGCGUUGUCCGGAAUCACUGGGCGUAAAGGGCGCGUAGGCGGCGCGGGCAGUCAACGGUGAAAGCUUGGGGCUCAACCCCGAGUCGGCCGUCGAUACUCCCGGGCUUGAGCACUGUAGAGGCAGGUGGAAUUCCGGGUGUAGCGGUGGAAUGCGUAGAGAUCCGGAAGAACACCGGUGGCGAAGGCGGCCUGCUGGGACAGUGCUGACGCUGAAGCGCGACAGCGUGGGGAGCAAACAGG
rnacentral:rRNA from 1 species